UACAGGGGGUGCAAACGUUGCUCGGAAUCAUUGGGCGUAAAGGGCAAGUAGGUGGUCUCAUUUGUCUAGGGUGAAAUCCUUGAGCUUAACUCAAGAAGUGCCCUAGAAACGGUGAGACUCGAGUACUGGAGAGGGUCGUGGAAUUCCCGGUGUAGCGGUGAAAUGCGUAGAGAUCGGGAGGAACACCAGAGGCGAAGGCGGCGACCUGGACAGAUACUGACACUCAACUACGAAAGCGUGGGGAGCAAACAGGG
rnacentral:rRNA from 1 species